UUCAGGUUUUGGGACAUCAGUAUAGACUCCUUUGACCAUGUGUAAAAGCUGCACCAUAUGCUGAACCCCAGGCAUGGGAGAGCCAUUACAGUUCUGACCUGGAUUACUUAACGAUGGCAUUAUGACUCCUAAUGAUGGUGUUGUGACUCUUUCAAAGCUGAUCACCAUCAUUUCCUAACCCACCUCCACACCUCAGCAGCAGUUGUCUCUGAUCCUGGAUGAGGAUGAAGGUGGCCACAAUCUCCUAAGCCACUGGCAACAUGUAAACGUGCCCCUAGAGAACAGUCUACUGGAUGAUUGCGGAAGAGGGGAAAAUUAAAUUCAGAAUAAACCCAGAACUGUGUGACAGAAGUAGAGAAACACAUCGAUGCCUUAAACCCAAUGUAACAGAGAUCCUUUUGCAUCUGCACACAGCAGCACCUUCCUUGUGGACAUGGGCACGUACCGCCCAGGAAGGAUCUGGCCCAGAGCUUGUGGAGUUUGUCCUCAUUCCCCCUCUAGACGAGCUCUCCUUGUAAUUCCAAAAACGUAGUUCAGUAGCUCAGCACAGCUUGGCUGAUGACGAGAGGACACAGAGCAACUUUGGAAACACAAACUGGCACAGGGAGAGAGUCUUUUUGGCUUUGAAAGGACAGCGCACAUGUUCGGAGCCAGAAUGUGUAAAGACUUUUGUUCACAAACAGAAAUCCCUUGUGCUGACAGGCUCCGAACAAGGCUGACGCUCUUGUGAAUGCAAUAUGAAAGUUGCCUUGUAUCAGGAUUAGUCAAGCAAAGAGUUUGCAACAAGUAAUUGACUCAGAAAAUUUAGUGGGAGAAGGAUGGUCCUCCAACAUUAAGAAAAAACAGAAAACAAAUAAAGUCCACUGUGAAUGCUCUGCUGUUUUGACU
rnacentral:lncRNA from 14 species